UACGUAGGGUGCGAGCGUUGUCCGGAAUUAUUGGGCGUAAAGAGCUCGUAGGCGGUGUGUCACGUCGGCCGUGAAAACCUGCAGCUUAACUGUGGGCGUGCGGUCGAUACGGGCAUCACUGGAGUUCGGCAGGGGAGACUGGAAUUCCAGGUGUAGCGGUGAAAUGCGUAGAUAUCUGGAGGAACACCGGUGGCGAAGGCGGCAUCCUGGACCGGCAUUGACGCUGAGGCGCGAAAGCCAGGGGAGCAAACGGG
rnacentral:rRNA from 1 species